ACACGGAGCCGAAGCGAAAGCGAGUCUUAAGAGGGCGGAUAGUUAGUGUACGUAGACCCGAAACCGCAGUGAUCUACCCAUGUCCAGGUUGAAGCGCAGGUAAAAUUGCGUGGAGGACCGAACCUGUGAGCGUUGAAAAGCUUUAGGAUGAGAUGUGGGUAGAGGUGAAAUUCCAAUCGAACGCGGAGAUAGCUGGUUCUCCCCGAAAUAGCUUUAGGGCUAGCCUCAAGUAGUAAGUAUAGGCGGUAGAGCACUGAUCGGGCUAGGGGCCAUAAAGGUUACCGAACCCUGUCAAACUCCGAAUGGUUAUACUGUAGAGCUUGGGAGUCAGACUACGAGUGAUAAGAUCCGUGGUCAAAAGGGAAACAGCCCAGACCACCAGCUAAGGUCCCCAAUGUCGUACUAAGUGGAAAAGGAUGUGGGGUCUCUAAAACAACCAGGAUGUUGGCUUAGAAGCAGCCACCAUUUAAAGAGUGCGUAAUAGCUCACUGGUCGAGAGACCCUGCGCCGAAGAUUACCGGGGCUAAAGUACGAAACCGAAGCUGUGGCUACGACGUAAGUCGUGGGGUAGGGGAGCGUUCUGUGAGGGCUGAAGUCGUUCUGUAAGGAACGGUGGACUUCACAGAAGUGAGAAUGUUGGUAUGAGUAGCGAAAAGAAUGGUGAGAAUCCAUUCCACCGAAAGCAUAAGGAUUCCUGGGCAACGAUCGUCGUCCCAGGGUAAGUCGGGACCUAAUCCGAGGCAUGGAGCGUAGGAGAUGGACAACUGGCAGAUAUUCCAGUACCGGUAAUGAUUGUUUGAGCGAUGGAGUGACACAGGAGGGCAGGCAGGCAGGAGAUUGGUUGUUCCUGUACAAGCGUGUAGGGUGGAACGUAGGCAAAUCCGCGUUCUGUGAGCCUGAGGCGUGAUGUGGAGGUUCCGGAAACGGAACUGAAGCUGCUGACCCCACACUGUCGAGAAAAGCUUCUAGUUAGAGAAUUACCGCCCGUACCGUAAACCGACACAGGUAUGCGGGGAGAGAAUCCUAAGGUGCGCGGGAGAACCCUCGUUAAGGAACUCGGCAAAAUGUACCCGUAACUUCGGGAUAAGGGUAGCCGCUGUUGUGAAGUCUGAACAGACGGAGCAUGAGGCGGUCGCAGAGAAGAGGCCCAAGCGACUGUUUACCACAAACACAGGUGCCUGCUAAAGAGAAAUCUGACGUAUAGGUGCUGACACCUGCCCAGUGCCGGAAGGUUAAGGAAGGAUGUCCGGAGCAAUCCAAAGCAUUCGACCGAAGCCCCGGUGAACGGCGGCCGUAACUAUAACGGUCCUAAGGUAGCGAAAUUCCUUGUCGGGUAAGUUCCGACCCGCACGAAAGGUGUAACGAUUUGGGCACUGUCUCAACGAGGGACCCGGUGAAAUUGAAGUACCUGUGAAGAUGCAGGUUACCCGCGACUGGACAGAAAGACCCCAUGGAGCUUUACUGUAACCUGACAUUGGGUUCUGAUACAUCACGUACAGGAUAGGUGGGAGGCAUGGAAGCGAGGACGCUAGUCUUCGUGGAGCCGCCGUUGGGAUACCACCCUUGAUGUAUCGGAAUUCUAACCGUAGGAGUAACGAAACUCGGGACAGUGUCAGGCGGGCAGUUUGACUGGGGCGGUCGCCUCCCAAAGAGUAACGGAGGCGCCCAAAGGUUCCCUCAGCGCGGCCGGAAAUCGCGCGAAGAGUGUAAAGGCAGAAGGGAGCUUGACUGAGAGCCAAACACGGCGAUCAGGUACGAAAGUAGGGCUUAGUGAUCCGGUGGCAUCCAAGUGGAAGGGCCAUCGCUCAACGGAUAAAAGCUACCCUGGGGAUAACAGGCUAAUCUCUCCCAAGAGUCCAUAUCGACGGGGAGGUUUGGCACCUCGAUGUCGGCUCAUCACAUCCUGGGGCUGAAGUCGGUCCCAAGGGUUGGGCUGUUCGCCCAUUAAAGUGGUACGUGAGCUGGGUUCAGAACGUCGUGAGACAGUUCGGUCCCUAUCCAUCGCGGGCGCAAGAGAUUUGAAGGGGGCUGCUCCUAGUACGAGAGGACCGGAGUGGACGAACCAAUGGUGUACCAAUUAUCUCGCCAGAGGUAUAGUUGGGUAGCUACGUUCGGAAAGGAUAAACGCUGAAAGCAUCUAAGCGUGAAACCAGCCUUAAGAUGAGAUCUCUCAUAGAGUAAUCUAGUAAGACACCUUGGAGAAGACGAGGUUGAUAGGUCGGGAGUGUAAGUACAGUAAUGUAUUCAGCGGACCGAUACUAAUAUGUCGAGGGCUUGACUUA
rnacentral:rRNA from 1 species